GUGACUUGGAUAUUGGGGUAGACUGAUUGUAGUAAUGACUGAAUUUGUUCCCACCUUCUGUAUCCAGGCCCUCCUGCACUGACUUUUGGCAUAGCCAUUUGUCUUGAUUUGGCCAAAGAGAACACCUUGGAAAGUGCUUGUACACUGGAGCUGCUUUUGCAACUGCUACCACCAAAAUGAUCAAGCUCAAGCUAUUCUCCUGGAGGAAGAGACACCACAUGAGCAGCAAUGAGCCAUCACAAACAACAAGCCGCCAGUUAACUCUGCAGCUGAUCACAGAUGUAUGAUGUAUGUGCCCAGCUGAUAUUAGCAGAGUCUGGCCUCAGGCUGGAAGAACCAUUCAGGAAUGGCCACCUACAUCUGUCUAGGACCCACUGAAAACCAAAAGCAGUUGUGAAAUGGAGAGACCUUAUGUGCCCAAGUCAACAAGCUAUUGAAGGAGCUGGAUUUUAAUUCCGAUGCUUUGGCUAAUUGGAUGACCUUGGACAGACACUUUGUUUGCAGUGGUAUUAGCAUUUCUGCAAUAUGCAGAUGAAGAAGCUGAGGACCUGACUCAUUCCCCCAAGGUGUGGCAAUUUUAUUUUCCAGAAUAAAGCCAUCUCAUGUAAAUAUCCCAUCAAUAGCAGCAGACGGUAAAAGGCAAUUUGAAUGAUGCUUUCAAAAU